rnacentral:rRNA from 1 species
AUUGAACGCUGGCGGCAGGCCUAACACAUGCAAGUCGAGCGGGGUUUUCGGACCUAGCGGCGGACGGGUGAGUAAUGCGUAGGAAGCUGCCCGAUAGAGGGGGAUACCAGUUGGAAACGGCUGUUAAUACCGCAUAAUGUCUACGGACCAAAGUGUGGGACCUUCGGGCCACAUGCUAUCGGAUGCGCCUACGUGGGAUU